rnacentral:rRNA from 1 species
CCUACGGGUGGCAGCAGUGGGGGAUAUUGCACAAUGGGGGGAACCCUGAUGCAGCGACGCCGCGUGGGUGAAGAAGCGCCUCGGCGCGUAAAGCCCUGUCAGCAGGGAAGAAAAUGACGGUACCUGACUAAGAAGCCCCGGCUAACUACGUGCCAGCAGCCGCGGUAAUACGUAGGGGGCAAGCGUUAUCCGGAUUUACUGGGUGUAAAGGGAGCGUAGACGGCAGCGCAAGUCUGGAGUGAAAUCCCAUGGCUUAACCAUGGAACUGCUUUGGAAACUGUGCAGCUGGAGUGCAGGAGAGGUAAGCGGAAUUCCUAGUGUAGCGGUGAAAUGCGUAGAUAUUAGGAGGAACACCAGUGGCGAAGGCGGCUUACUGGACUGUAACUGACGUUGAGGCUCGAAAGCGUGGGGAGCAAACAGGAUUAGAUACCCUUGUAGUC